rnacentral:lncRNA from 1 species
AGUCCCCACCACCUCCAUCUCCUUCACCACCUCCUCCUUACUACUACAAGUCACCUCCUCCCCCUUCGCCUUCUCCCCCACCCCCCUACUACUACAAGUCGCCUCCACCGCCGGCGAAGUCUCCGCCAGCACAUUACUACUACAAAUCUCCUCCACCACCAUCACCGUCACCGCCAGUUUACUACUACAAGUCUCCACCGCCUCCCACAAAGCUGCCACCCCCAUACUACUACAAGUCCCCCCCUCCGCCCCACCACCACUAUGAGCAUGCCGUCAAGGUUAUCGGAAAGGUCUACUGCUACAGGUGCUACGACUGGGACCACAGCAUCAAGUCUCACGGGAAGAAACACCUCAAAGGUAUUCUAAUCCUCUUACCCCCCGAGUAAACUGCGAUAAAAGUAUACUUCUCUCUCAUUUCCUCUUUGAAAAUUUUCUUGACGAUGAGUUCCAGACAUUGAAGAUUAACUUUGUGGGUCAGAACCAGUAAUCUUCGGUCUCUCUUUGAAAAACUAGCUUCUGUUGAUGAACAAACGAACGAGUGAAGUUGGCAGACAUGCUGACGCUUCCGAUAUAUUUAAAUAAUAGGAACCGACAGAUUAGCGGAGAUUUCUAGAAUAGAUAACUAAAUGGGGCUUCGGGCUUGUUUUUAAUAAGAUCUACGAUAAACAUGCGUGCAGGUGCGGUGGUGAAGGUGACCUGCGUGGAUGGGUACAAGGAGAUCGUCGCCUACGGGAAGACGAAGAGCAACGGCAAGUACAGCAUCUCCGUCAAGGGCUACGACUACUGGAAGUAUGGCGCCAAGCAUUGCAAGGCAGAACUGCACGCCGCACCUAAAGGAUCCGUUUGCAACAUUCCCACUGACCUUAACGGUGGCAAGAAGGGAGCCAAGCUCCACGUGAAGUCCGAAUCCUAUGGCCUGGUUGUCCUCAAGGCUAAGCCUUUCGCAUACGCCCCUAAGAAGCCGUACAAGGAGUGUGAGAAGCCCAAGCCCAAGCCCCCUGUCUACUAUUACAAAUCACCACCUCCCCCAACUCCAACAUACUACUACAAGUCACCGCCUCCCCCUACUCCCACCUACUAUUACAAGUCGCCGCCUCCCCCAACGCCCACAUAUCACUACAAAUCGCCACCACCUCCCACACCCACAUACUACUACAAGUCGCCUCCUCCCCCAAAGCCCACAUACUACUACAAAUCGCCUCCUCCUCCCACUCCUACAUACUACUACAAGUCACCACCUCCCCCGACUCCAACCUACUACUACAAGUCACCCCCGCCCCCAAAACCCACAUACUACUACAAGUCGCCUCCUCCUCCCACUCCAACUUACAAGUACAAGUCACCCCCUCCCCCCAAACCCACAUACUACUACAAGUCGCCGCCUCCUCCUACUCCCAAAUACUACUACAAGUCGCCACCUCCUCCUACCCCCACUUACUAUUACCNN